UGUAGGACAAAGACUUUUAAUACUGGCACUAUAUGUAAUAUUAUUAUGAGCUUAGAAUACUAAUUCUUGACCCCAUUUGAGUAGCAAGCCUGAAGCACAGUUUUAUAUGCAACUUAUAUAUACUAGGAAAUGAUUACAGCUAUUCUGGAUGGCAACAGUACUUUCUUACUGGGAUUUUCUUCUAUCCUGUAAAAUUUUGUAUGGUUUUUUCUGCACUGAUUUAAACUAAAAUAUUCUUGCAAGUAAUAAAAUAAAUAUGACUUGAUUAAAACCUUAUUUACUCAAAAAUAGGUUCACAACUUAUAUGUCUGCUGUAUCUACCUAUGUGCAUCUGUGUUGCAUAUGGUUAUUAUUAAAAUAAAUCAUUAAAAAAAGCCCAGUAUUUGAAAAGAGUUGUCAGAAAGUAGUAUCGGUAAUACUAAAUAUUUCUGUUUUACUGUUUGCUCUUUCCUAAAUGGGAGAAAGGUAGGAUUAGCCAAACAUUUUGUACAAAAAUCCAGCUCUGUAGAAAUGGCAUUAAGGUCCUCCUUGUGGAGGUCAAGUAUUGCUUUCAGGAGCACUGAAACUCUGAAGGAGGAAGGAAUAAUAAAACAGAGGGGAUUAAAGGGAUAAAAAGAGUGAUCGUAUCUUGCAUGGCCAUUGUUGUGUAGUUGUAAUUACAUGUGAUGGAAUCGCUGUUCACUUCAAACAUGUGCAAGUGUAGGAGGAAGGGAAAGACAGUGAAGUGCUGGAACAGUCUUGCAAGUAUGAACAUCAUUUCACAGAAGUGCUGGGAGGUAUGA
rnacentral:lncRNA from 1 species